GACGAACGCUGGCGGCGUGCUUAACACAUGCAAGUCGAACGGUAAGGCUCUUCGGGGUACACGAGUGGCGAACGGGUGAGUAACACGUGGGUGAUCUGCCCUGCACUUCGGGAUAAGCCUGGGAAACUGGGUCUAAUACCGGAUAGGACUCCUGGCUUCAUGGUUGGGGGUGGAAAGCUUUUGCGGUGUGGGAUGGGCCCGCGGCCUAUCAGCUUGUUGGUGGGGUAAUGGCCUACCAAGGCGACGACGGGUAGCCGGCCUGAGAGGGUGACCGGUCACACUGGGACUGAGAUACGGCCCAGACUCCUACGGGAGGCAGCAGUGGGGAAUAUUGCACAAUGGGCGCAAGCCUGAUGCAGCGACGCCGCGUGAGGGAUGACGGCCUUCGGGUUGUAAACCUCUUUCAGCUAUGACGAAGCGCAAGUGACGGUAGUAGCAGAAGAAGGACCGGCCAACUACGUGCCAGCAGCCGCGUAA
rnacentral:rRNA from 1 species